UAAGCCCACGGAAUCUUCGGGUUCUGCGGGAAAAGGUGGCCUCUGUCUCAAGCUACCGUAUCAGGAUGGGUCCGCGUACCAUUAGCUAGUUGGUAGGGUAAUGGCCUACCAAGGCGACGAUGGUUAGCUGGUCUGAGAGGAUGAUCAGCCACACUGGAACUGAGACACGGUCCAGACUCCUACGGGAGGCAGCAGUGGGGAAUUUUGCGCAAUGGGGGGAAACCCUGACGCAGCAACGCCGCGUGAGUGAUGAAGGCCUUCGGGUCGUAAAGCUCUGUCAGAGGGGAAGAAAUGAUGAGGUGCUAAUACCACUUCUUCUUGACGGUACCCUCAAAGGAAGCACCGGCUAACUCCGUGCCAGCAGCCGCGGUAA
rnacentral:rRNA from 1 species